CUUCUGCAAAUUCUUGCAGGGGAGUGUGGGGUUUAUAAAAGGACUGUCAGGGAGCCGAGGUGGAUAGGAUUUCAUGGAAGGCCUGGUCCACCAAUGACUGGUACUGCUGACAAGGUUGAUACUUGGAGUAACCAACGGUGACUGUUGUCUGAGCAGCUGUGGUUGCAGUGAGCUAAAUCGACGAGGAAUUACUCGAGGUGUCUGUGUGAUGAUAGUGCAUUUUUAUUUAAUUUACCCUGGGACAAGUAAGUGUUGGAUCUGGAUAUGUGCGCAACUCUGAGGGCGACACCAUAUAUGCUGCUGCAUUCAGCGAA